UUAAAAGCGUUGAAGAGGAGUAGUACACUCUGAUCCUGUUACAGAGAGCUGGCGGUUGGUGCAAGUCAGUACAGGAAAAAGUGGAACUCGCCUUGGAGCUGUGUCGGUGAAGGUUGUUGCUCUAGCUGAUGUCGUGAACCUGCGUGAAUGGUUGUUGAGGGUUCUGUAUGAUUGUUUGCAGAACUGAAACAGGGUGGUACCGCGGAGCAUAUAAGCUUUCGCCCCUGAU
rnacentral:ncRNA from 1 species